rnacentral:rRNA from 1 species
ACCUACGGGGGGCAGCAGUGGGGGAUAUUGCACAAUGGGGGAAACCCUGAUGCAGCGACGCCGCGUGAGUGAAGAAGUAAUUCGUUACGUAAAGCUCUAUCAGCAGGGAAGAAAAUGACGGUACCUGACUAAGAAGCCCCGGCUAACUACGUGCCAGCAGCCGCGGUAAUACGUAGGGAGCGAGCGUUAUCCGGAUUUAUUGGGUGUAAAGGGUGCGUAGGCGGCUUCUUAAGUCUGUAGUCUAAGCCCGGAGCUUAACUCCGGUUCGCUACAGAAACUGAUUAGCUUGAGUAUGGUAGAGGCAA